ACAAAUACCAAUAAACUGGGAACGAAUGCUGGCGCGCGGAUUUGAGCGGAAUUCAAGACCCAGACAGAAGCCCAUCACAAACUUGUGACACGCAACGGCGCCAAGCAAAAAGAGCACCUGAGAGAGAAAUAGAGAAGACAAAUCUAGAUUGUGGCGGCAAACUAAAUUCAUUAAAAGAAGACCAAAUUAUGUCAAGGCGUGUGCGCAAACCUUUGUGGCCGAAUUUUGUACACCAAUCGCCAAUCCCUCGAUGGCCGAGUGCAACGACAACGCCACAAACAAGCCCAAUGUGCCGGUCAUAGUUUGUGCACAUGGCUCUGUGUGGCUGGUGUGACAAAUUCGGGCAUUCGCAUCCUCCACACUGUCAUCAUUGCAACCGGAAGCACCAAUGGCAACAUAAUCGCGAUCAUGACCGCUAAAACAAAAGGCAAUGCCAAACAAUUAAUACAAUUGAUUUAAAAUAUACAUAUGUAAUUGAUUUAUACUUCUCGUUCUGAUGAUGGUUAUGAACAUGCUGAUGAUCAUGCUGACGAGAGGAAGACGGCGCAGAGUCGGACGCAAGCAACGGCGCACGUUCGUUAAUUGCUCCAUAAGCAUUAUUUUGAUGGCCACCUGUUGCUGGACUUGUGUGUUCGUGUGUAUGUUGUAUAGCCUCCCCCAAAGAAAUAAUGUAUAAACUCAUCAAUAAAAUAGAUAAUAAAGAAUCCUCCGCACAUUGAAA